GGACGGGUGAGUAACGCGUGAGGAACCUGCCUUUCAGAGGGGGACAACAGUUGGAAACGACUGCUAAUACCGCAUGACACAUAGAGAUCGCAUGGUUUUUAUGUCAAAGAUUUAUCGCUGAAAGAUGGCCUCGCGUCUGAUUAGCUAGUUGGUGAGGUAACGGCCCACCAAGGCGACGAUCAGUAGCCGGACUGAGAGGUUGACCGGCCACAUUGGGACUGAGAUACGGCCCAGACUCCUACGGGAGGCAGCAGUGGGGAAUAUUGGGCAAUGGGCGCAAGCCUGACCCAGCAACGCCGCGUGAAGGAAGAAGGCUUUCGGGUUGUAAACUUCUUUUGUCGGGGACGAGUAGAAGACGGUACCUGGCGAAUAAGCCACGGCUAACUACGUGCC
rnacentral:rRNA from 1 species